ACCUGGCCUUGGACGUGUAACUCGACCCCCCAACUCCUUCUUUACUACGCAGGUUGGGAUUUGUAGUUCUAUUCGUAAGCUUUUAUAAACGCUAUCGUGAAACAACACUACAAGUCCCGAUAUGCCCCGCGGGUCCGCUCUGUCAGUGGCUGUCUGAAGCCUCCAGUCAGAUCCCCGCUCACACAAAGGGCCCAUCUGCGGCAGUCACAUCAAAUGAAGAAAAGAACUCUGAGAUCCAGAACAUCUGGGACUCAACAGCUCUCCCUAUGUUGGUCCAGUAAAAGGGUGAAUAAAAAUAAAUAUUUCUAACCAAGUUUUUCUGGAUUAUGGAAGAUAACCCUUUGCGGUGUGAUCCUAAUAAAGCAAGUUUGAUACAUACAAAUUUUGACAUCAGAGAGUGGAGUACCUCUACAGUAGACACACCUGCGCAAAUCAAUCAGUUUGAAAAGGAUAAUUUAGCUGUAUCCCCAUCAAAGGAUCCUCAAGAAA